UACAGAGGUCUCAAGCGUUGUUCGGAUUCAUUGGGCGUAAAGGGUGUGUAGGUGGCGCCGUAAGUCGGGUGUGAAAUCUCGGGGCUUAACUCCGAAACUGCAUUCGAUACUGCGGUGCUUGAGGACUGGAGAGGAGAUUGGAAUUCAUGGUGUAGCAGUGAAAUGCGUAGAGAUCAUGAGGAAGACCAGUGGCGAAGGCGGGUCUCUGGACAGUUCCUGACACUGAGACACGAAGGCCAGGGGAGCAAACGGG
rnacentral:rRNA from 1 species